AUUGAACGCUGGCGGCAGGCCUAACACAUGCAAGUCGAGCGAGCGGCGGACGGGGGAGUAAUGUAUGGGGACUGCCCGAUAGAGGGGGAUAACUACUGGAAACGGUAGCUAAUACCGCAUACUAUCGGAUAACCCAUAUGGGAUUAGCUCGUAGGUUAGGAAAUGGCUCACCUAGGCGACGAUCCCUAGCUGGUCUGAGAGGAUGAUCAGCCACACUGGGACUGAGACACGGCCCAGACCCCUACGGAGGCAGCAGUGGGGAAUUUUGGACAAUGGGGGAAACCCUGAGCCAGCCAUCCCGCGUGUAUGAAGAAGGCCCUAGGGUUGUAAAGUACUUUCAGUCGGGAGGCGUGACCGACAGAAGAAGCACCGGCUAACUCCGUGCCAGCAGCGCGGUAAUUC
rnacentral:rRNA from 1 species